CUCACAGCACUGGAGACCAACAUCCUCUAUUUCUGCUUAGUAUAGUAUGAGCAGCAGCAAUUCAAGCUUCCCCACAAUGUACCAUUCAAGUGCCUCAACCCUGGUGUAGGUGGACAGCUUGUAGGGGAAACCGAGUAGUUCAGGGCUUGUCAACAAAGUAACUGGAGCCACAACAGCU
rnacentral:sRNA from 1 species